rnacentral:rRNA from 1 species
UAUGGUCCUUGUGGGAAAGCCGCCGCGGUAAUACGUAGGGGGCAAGCGUUAUCCGGAAUUACUGGGUGUAAAGGGUGCGUAGGUGGUAUGGCAAGUCAGAAGUGAAAACCCAGGGCUUAACUCUGGGACUGCUUUUGAAACUGUCAGACUAGAGUGCAGGAGAGGUAAGCGGAAUUCCUAGUGUAGCGGUGAAAUGCGUAGAUAUUAGGAGGAACAUCAGUGGCGAAGGCGGCUUACUGGACUGAAACUGACACUGAGGCACGAAAGCGUGGGGAGCAAACAGG